AGCAGCCGCCGCGGUAAUACGAGGGGGGCAAGCGUUGUUCGGAAUUAUUGGGCGUAAAGGGUGCGUAGGCGGUUUGACAAGUCUCAUGUGAAAUCUUCGGGCUCAACUCGAAGUCUGCAUGGGAAACUGUCGGGCUUGAGUAUGGGAGAGGUGAGUGGAAUUUCCGGUGUAGCGGUGAAAUGCGUAGAUAUCGGAAGGAACACCUGUGGCGAAAGCGGCUCACUGGACCAUAACUGACGCUGAGGCACGAAAGCUAGGGGAGCAAACAGGAUUAGAUACCCGUGUAGUCCCUGUCUCUUAUAU
rnacentral:rRNA from 1 species